rnacentral:tRNA from 1 species
GUCUGGCUGGCUCAGUCUGUAGAGCACAUGACUCUUGAUCUUGGGGUCAUGAGUUCAAGCCCCAUGUCAGGUG